rnacentral:lncRNA from 1 species
AAACAAAUCUGUUCUCAUGCAAACGCUGCCAGUAACAGAAACUAGUAGAAGAUAAAUCUGAGACAUAUCACAUGUGUCGUACAAUUCCUUCCUAGUCAAAUGGAUUUCUGUUUGCCUGAAGUGUUCACAGCUGUUAACUGCAAUUUUUUUACAGGAGUAGACCAUGAACUUGAUGUAACAAAAGUAAUUUGUAAGACUGAGAAAAGAAGUAAUAAAACUCCUUCAGUGAUUCUGUAGGACCUAUUGCAUGGAGGUAUAAGUUCUGAUUAGCUGAGGAUGAUUUUUGUUUGUUUUCUUGUUGAGGAUUCAAUAAUAUUUCAAGUUGGAUUCAGCUGAAGGACCCUUCAGAUUCUGUCAUGUAACUGACUACUAAGAGACUUUAACUCUUUCUCUCCCACUCUACCCCACAUCAUCUGCAGUUGAGCAUUCUUUAGGUCACCCAACUAAGUGGUUCUGGAAGCUAUAAUGAAGGUAUCCAACAUGGUUUUCAUCUUCUGCCUCAGGUGUGUGAGGAUAUUCCGAUCUCAUCAAUUGGACUCUCUGCUUGAAUUUCAGUGGCUGUAAGUAGGCAAAAGAAAGCCAUCCAUAACACAUCUAAACACAGGAUGUCAUGGUUUUGUAACUUCGCUAUUGGUAUUCCACAUCAUAACAUCAUGGACAAAAGAGAAGAACUACGUAUCCCAGAGGACCUCACGGUCAGAGAAGGAAGACACAUCACGGAAGAUACGUCAUCUGGUUGCGCGCGGUGCUUCUUCACUUUCGCUUGCUGCCGGGAGAGGAGUGGGUGUGCUUUCCAAGCCGGGCGCCUUCAUCAACUGAGAGACACAAUCAGACACAUCUGAUAGGAGAAAUUAGCUUUCUUCUUGAUGGACAAAAUGCUGCAAUCCUGAGAUUUACAUUUUACUUAUCAAUUGGAAUUCAUUCUACAAUAGGUAAAAAGUAUAUUUCUGACUGCAUUUAAUUCACAAUUGUAUUAUAUACUGAGUUAUCUGAGAGUGCUUUAAUG